rnacentral:rRNA from 1 species
AGAGUUUGAUCCUGGCUCAGGAUGAACGCUGGCGGCAUGCCUAAUACAUGCAAGUCGAACGAGGAUCCUUCGGGAUCCUAGUGGCGAACGGGUGAGUAACACGUAGGGAACCUGCCCGCGCACCGGGAAUACGCUCUGGAAACGGAGAACAAAUCCCGAUGUACAGGAAGGAGGCAUCUUCUUUCUGUGAAACAUCCUGUAAGGGAUGGGGCGCGGAUGGACCUGCGGUGCAUUAGUUGGUUGGCGAGGGUAAAGGCCCACCAAGACGAUGAUGCUUAGCCGGCCUGAGAGGGCGGACGGCCACAUUGGGACUGAGACACGGCCCAGACUCCUGCGGGAGGCAGCAGUAGGGAAUUUUCGUCAAUGGGCGCAAGCCUGAACGAGCGAUGCCGCGUGAGUGAAGAAGGCCUUCGGGUCGUAAAGCUCUGUUGCGGGGGAAAAAAGGCAUCUGCAGGAAAUGGUAGAUGACAGAUGGUGCCCCGCCAGAAAGUCACGGCUAACUACGUGCCAGCAGCCGCGGUAAUACGUAGGUGGCGAGCGUUAUCCGGAAUGAUUGGGCGUAAAGGGUGCGCAGGCGGUCCUGCAAGUCUGGAGUGAAACGUAUGAGCUCAACUCAUGCAUGGCUCUGGAAACUGGAGGACUGGAGAGCAGGAGAGGGCGGUGGAAC